UACAGAGGUCUCAACCGUUGUUCGGAUUCAUUGGGCGUAAAGCGUGCGCAGGCGGUGAUGUAAGACAGAUGUGAAAUCCCCGGGCUCAACCUGGGAACUGCAUUUGUGACUGCAUCGCUGGAGUGCGGCAGAGGGGGAUGGAAUUCCGCGUGUAGCAGUGAAAUGCGUAGAUAUGCGGAGGAACACCGAUGGCGAAGGCAAUCCCCUGGGCCUGUACUGGACGCUGAGGAGCGGAAAGCGUGGGGGAGCGAACAGG
rnacentral:rRNA from 1 species